CCAUUCUCAACAAUACAAUGAUCCAAGACAAUCCCAAAGGACUAAUGAUGAAGCAGACUAUCCACCUCCAAAGAAAGAACUGAUAUUGAUUAUUCAAUGCUGUUUUGUGGGUUCCCAAAAGUCUUCCCAGGUUUCUAUGAGUCCCUCAUGUGUUGUUCCUUGAGGCACAGUGAUAUCCCAUAACCUUUAUGUUCCACUACUUGGUUCCCCAGUGGAUGGGGACCUUCUCUGUUUCUAGUUCUUUGCUACCAAAAAGGUACUGUAAUAUUUGGUGUGUAUGGGCCUUUUUUUCUGUCUAGGAUCAUUUGGGGUUUAUGCCUGGCAAUGGGGAUCUCUAUGUCACUUAAUGGACUUUUUCCUCAUAUACUUCCAAAUUGUUUUCCACAAUAGGUAGACCAAUUCACACCCCUCCCACCACUGAGGAUUCCUUUCUUGUGUUGUCUUUGCUCAUUGCUGCUGGUGAGGUGAAAACUCUGAGUUGUUUUUCAUUUUGUCAUUUCUUGUGGUGAUUCUCUAGAUUGGUGAUAAAAUGUGAGAGGCUGUGGAACAGCUUGUUAGAGUCCGUGUGUGUGUGUGUGUGUGUGUGUGUGUGUGUGUAGAUGAUUCUUACAAAUGUUUUAUACCCAGGGGAAACAGGCAUAUAGGGUUAGUCUUUUAUUCUCUCACUUGCUUUUAAUUGGGGGGGAAGUAAUAAGGUUUAAUGUUGGUCAUAGUACAUAAGCUACAAUUAAUUUCCUGGUGGUCUUUUUGCAAAGACUUAGCUGGAGCACUGUGGUAUGAGAGAACCAAAUAUCCCCUGAAAUGAAGGCUCUUGUGGCUUUUGGAUGCCCACGGAAUGUGGCCAGGAAUGCUUCUGCCCAGACCCGAUUAGCCUUUCUCUUUACCAGGGAGGCACGUGAGCCCUGCUGACCAUUCUCUUGUCAGGGUAGUAGAGAAGUGCCUUCCCUGAAGCCCGCGAGCCUCAUCAUCACGCUGGAGUGCCCAAUGAUCAGUCUUCGUGGUUGUGCUGGUGAGCAUGAGGGGGACACUGGGGUGUGUGGGGUUCAGUAGAUACACCCCACCUUUCUCUCGGAAGGACAUGGAAGCCCCAGAUGCCCUCCAUGCCUGCAACACUCUCCCUCCUCAUCUCCACCUGGCUUCCUUCAAGCGUCAACUAAAAUCCUGCCCUCUUCACAAAGCGUUCUAGUUCAGGCUGUCGGGGGUUUGUGUGCCGUCUCUCCAACCAUGAGCUCCUUCGGGGCUGGGGCUGCUUUGGUGUUUGUUCCUCUCUUUCCCCAGAUUAGAAUAGGCUUCAUGGGCCAUCCAUUUCAGACUGAGCCCAGCUUGCUGAGAGACAUGGCUUUGGGGCCCUUCCCUCCCACUCCCACCUCCCUCCCACCCCCUGUAGUGCUCUCUCUGCCCACCAGGCCCUUGGUCACAGAGUUGAGCCAGAAGGUUCCUUGAAGGUCAUCUUGUCCAGCUCGGAAGCCCAUGGGCAGGAGGUGACUUGCCUAAGGUCACACAGUGGGCAGAGCUGCUUCUCUGGUGGCAGAUACAGUCUGCAUGGCAGCAUCCCUCUCCGGACAUGGAUCCCGGGCUUCCUGAGCCUCGGACGCAGAGGACCACAACUUUAGUUCUGUGUGCCGUCACAGAAGCUCAGUACAAGAAAGGACCUCAGCCGACCCUCAUCCAGCCCAUCCCCAGUAGAGGGUUGGCUGGCCUCUACUUGGAGACCCCCGUCGAGGGGGAACCCACCCCCUGAUGCAAGGAUUUCAUUUGGGGCACUUAGCACAAACAGACCUCACGGUCCUGGUUCUACCCUUGGGCAGAAUGGCCUGGAUCUAACAUCUCUGCCACGGUUGUUCAUAAUUGCUCAGAGUGCUUGAGAACGGCCACUGAGGCCCAGGCCAAAGCAAUCCUGUGACAUGGACUCAAGGCCACGCACCCUCCCAGUUGUCUGAUGAGGGCAGAGUUCUGUGAGAGCCUCGGGGGCCUCUUCCUGGAAACUCCGCCCCAGUAAAUGCAGCCCAAGAUCUCCUGCUUUCUUGGUGGCCCCAUCAUGCAGAGCUUCUGGUCCCUGGCUCCCGAAUGUUUUCUCAUCCCCACUGAACAUCAUCUUGGACUCAGCCUGAUGAAGAUAUCUCUCAAUUCUGACUUUCCUCCAGUGCGUUAGCCCUCCCUGCCAUCCUUCUCCAGGCUUUGUGUUGAGCAGGAAAUGUCAAGAUGGAUAAGAUCCAGCACCCCUGGGCUUUAUCUACUCACCCAUGGAUCACUGGACUACAUGUGAUUCUUAGUCUCCUCUGCCAGGAUAGAAUCGGCAAGAUCAAAGCCUAUCUGGGCCAGAGGAUUUCUGGGCAGGGGCCUGGCAGCUACUCAUGGUCCAGCCCAUGCCCAUGCCACAUGGGGGCACUGGAGGAAGAUUGCUUAAAUGGUUGCCUGGUGAACAGAUGAAAAAAGAGCUUCUCCUAUUGCUAUGGGAGGGAACAGCAAGUUAAGAAGAUGGUGUCUGGGAACCGAGGCUUAGAACUGUGGCAAUGGCAGGCGCUAGCCAGGGAUGGAAUGCACCUGACCCAGACUGGCAAUAGGGAGUCACCAGAGUUUACUGAGCUCCGGCCGAUCUGCCCAGAACAGAGCAUCAAAUAACUGAUGUGUCAUAAGGACAACUUCAUCCCCUAAAAGGUGAAGAAACAGUCCCUGGCAGCAGAAACACUCAGCAGGGUCUACACCCUGCUCUCCCUUAAUGCAUAAUGAAGGCAUUAGAAGGGCCACUGGCUGGACAACUAGUCUACUCCUGCUGGCCUGUAAAAACUGAAGCUUCCAGCCCAGGAGAGAGUUUGAGUUAGGGAGCAGAAGUUACACUCGGGGAAAGAGAGUAGCAGUGGCAUGCUCCGAGCCAGAGAACCCAGCCAAGGGACCCAUUCAGCAGACAUGCUGCUCUUGGGGAGGAGAGGUGGCAUGAGAACACCAUGAGAAGAAAAAGGAUCUUUAGGGCCUUGUGGUACCAGUGAAAUGAGUGCCCCCUCUUUCCACUGAUACUGUAGUUCUUACUUUGUUAUUUUAGUAAAUGCUUCUGUUUUGAGGGAAUUGUUUCCACUGACUGACUAUUCUGAGUAAGCUCAUGGGUAGGGGCUCAUGAGCUUUAGUUUUAGAAGUCUGGAUGCUUGGUGUGCCUUUGAACCUGAGCACAGUCACCCCCCCCCACUUUCCAAGGACCCAACCUACAACCUUGUGAGGACCAGUUUACAAGUUUGGGGAGUAUGCCUCAGAAAGAGGUGCUGUUCGCUGAAAGGCCUGAAUAAACCAUUCAUGUUAUGAAAGUAUCAGAGCUAGAACAUACUGAAAGGCUACUCUGGCUCACCAGACACCACAGCUAUUCACGGUGCGUCCUGGACAGAGCUGCUGUCAGCCUCCCGGUGGCCACUGAGCUCUUUUAGCUCCAUUCCAACAGAGGGUUGAAAGCCGUGGUGAAAUGUGGUUGGGUUUACCCAGAGCUGCAGCGGGUAUGGCUGUGGAUUGCCCAAGUGGAUCCAGAAAGCCUGGCACAAAUUGUGGGGUCUGUGAAAUGGCAACAAGGUGCAGCUGCCCAACACACUUGCAAAGUUUACUUCCUAACUAUACCACGUAAAUGAAUUUUAUUUUUUGCUCUGGACCUUUAUAAAUUUCACAGCAACUGUUAAUUGAUCAGUCAAUCAACAAGCAUUUACUCAGCAUUUAGGAUGUGCCCCACAUUGUGCUAAUGUAGGGAUAUAGUACAAAAAGAGGAAGAUGGCUCCUGCCCUCAAGUUUACAGUCUGGCCAGCAGAGAAGCCCCAGAGUGGGAGGUCCCCUAGCAAUCCUGGAGGCAGAUGGGAGUGAGGCAUCAGGUGGAGGGCUGGAUACAGACCUCUGCCAGGUCACGAGGUGACACAGGGGAGUGAGAGAUUUUUAGGAUCUCAACAGAGACAGGGCAGGAGGAAGGGGAGGAGCAGGAAGAGGAGGAAGAAAGGGCCAGGCCUCAGAAGCCUGGUAUGGAAAGAAGGGGAGAAGUGGGGCAAUCCAUCAGCCUUGCCCAAAGGCAGAGAAGGUUAAGAACAAAGGCCAGCUUGAAGAAUAGGAGGGGAAGAAGCCAGGGCAGCUGCUUUCUCUGAAGACCUGGAUUGAAGGCAGGGUCUUGGGUCUGGCCACCCUUUGAAUGCAGAAGAGGACCUGAGCUGCAGCUUCCUGGAGGGGGGUGGGGCAUGUUGGGCAUGUUGGGGAUGGCCUGAAGAGCCACCUGAGACUCUAGCUAGAGGUUCAUCUGCCAUUGGCUACCUCCGUCCUUUGGAGUCUGUCUGUCGACGUGCAUGUUUUUGCUUCUGUUACAAUGGGAGCCCCUUGAGGACAGAGUUUGGCUUUUUCUUUGUAUGUGAUGACUGGCAUGUAUGGUCAUGUCUCCCAUGUGUGCCUUCCAGAUAGGACCUCAUUUUAUCCUCAAGAGAACCCAGGGAGGGAUGUGCUCUCAUGAUCCCCAUUUUACCUUUGAGAAGACCGAGGCAAACAAAGGUGAAGUUUCUCACCUAAGGUCACACAACUAUUUAGUGCCUGAGGCAGGAUUUGAACUCAGGUCUUCCCGACUCCAGGCCCAGUACGGUAUAUACCAUGACCUCUCUUGCUUAUUAAUGUUUGAUAGAUUGAUUGACCCAGUCUUAGGCAAGAUCCUACGCACAGUAGCCAAAGUGUCUUUACUUAGGUGAAGAGCUGACCUUGUUGCUCAUUCCCUUUUGACAGUUAUUUUAAAUGGAAUUUCUUUCUAUCUCUUGUUGCUGGACUUUGUUGUUAAUAUGUUGAAAUGCUGAUGAUUUAUGUGGGUUUAUUUUGUAUCCUGCAACUUUGCU